rnacentral:rRNA from 1 species
CUCCUAGUUGUGCUCUUUCCUUUCCAACUAGUGGUGGCACCUGUUGAUCCGGGAAUGGUUGCUCCUACUUCUGCCUAGUCUGGACGAUGUCGUCCUCCUGGGAUUCGUGCGUCCGUUAUUGCCCGUGUGCGCAGUGCCAGCAUGCGUCUUCCUCCUGCGGAUUGUUCAUUGGUGACGGCAGGCGCUGUUGUGCAUGGUCAGUUGCCUGGGGUUCAUUCAGGGUGGUGUUUCCGCUCUGUGUCUCGCCGGCCGCUCCAUUCUCGCUGGCCUGGUGGCCAGCAUUCCGGCUCGGACCAGUUUCUUAAUGGAGAUCUUGAUAGACGCCGUCGUGAGAUUUCUUUAGGGAAGCGGCCUGUUGAUUGCACUGUUGUUCCACCACUACUGUUGGUUCUUCUUCCGUGUUUGAUGGCCUUGUGUUUGCUGCUCGGGCCGUCAUUGCGCGAACUGGUGAGUUCUUGCUUCUUUUCUCUGUUUAUUUUCUGUCUAUUGUGUUGUUUCUCUUGGCUAUUCUAAGAUGGCUAUAGUUUAUUUGCUUUCUACUGCUUUUGUGGUGGUUGGUUUUCAUUUUUCUUUCUUUGUGAGCUGCUUGGGUGGGUAUUCCCGUCUGGUCCAGCUGAUGUGCUCAGUUGUUUUCCGAUCUAGCUGUUCAGGCAUAUGAGCUUCGGUCGGUUUCUAAUGUGUUGCAUCCAAUACUUUCUUGCACCUUCCUUGGUCGUGCACAUGGUUGACAGAUCAAUUGGUCGUCCUUCUACUCUUCCUGUUGGUGUCCAUCUUGACUGUUAUUUAGUCGGUGCUCCGUCUGUGGUAACCGUCCAAGAGUGGUGCCUUUGCGUGCGGCUGGUGCCUUUGGUCGGCCUACUCCUCUUGGUAAGUUCACCUUUUUUUACUGUGCCUGUGUCGUUGCUGUUACUGGUAAUUUCCUUCUGGAUCCGAUUCUAAUUUGUAACAUGUUUGGUAUUUGAGUGAUGCCUACUCCUGUUAUGGAAUACUUUCAGGUUGUGUGCGGCCGGCGUAAGCGGGCGUUGAUGCGGUCGUACUGGUCGGGUCGGAAAAGAGUAUGCGGGAUGCAACCUCCCUUUCCAAAGGAUUAUAUUCAUUUGCUUAAGGCCACUUCUAGGGGCCGUUCGUACUAUUGCGGCCCGGAUUUGUGUUGCCAGAGGUGCGGGGCUUUAUUUUGGUUUCGUGAAGGAUCUGUACACCAUGCUGAAGCAACUUCUCACUCUCCUAUUUACACGGGAUGUUGUUGGGCGGGCAUGAUUUCGCUGCCGAAGUUUGGUGACUAGCCUACUCCUUUGGACAGGCUGAUGCGCUUUGAUGGGGAUGCGGUUUCUUCCCAGUUCAUGUGAUUAAUACGAGAGUACAAUUCUAUGUUCUAUUUUACAUCUUUGGGUGCACAGGUUGAUCGUAGUAUCAAUGUUGGAGGUGCUCCAUACGUUUUCAAGAUUAAUGGGGUGGUCUACCAUCGUAUUGGUUCGUUGUUUCCGGUGGAGGGUGCAAUCCCCAAGUUUGUGCAACUGUACAUGGUGGAUUCUGCCGAUGAGGUGGACUGUAGGCUGAAUGUGUUUGAGGGAGAAGAAACUGCCUCACUUGAGCCUGAUCCUGAGAUUGUUUCUUCUCUGAUAAACAUGCUCAAUGUGUUGGGGAACGUAGCAUGCAAUUUCAAAAAACUUCCUACGAUCACGCAAGAUCUAUCUAGGAGAUGAAUAGCAACGAGAGGGGGAGAGUGUGUCCACGUACCCUCAUAGACCGAAAGCGGAAGCAUUAGGUUAACGCGGUUGAUGUAGUUUAAUGUCUUCAUGAUCCAACCGAUCCAAGUAUCGAACGUACGUCACGUCUCUGUUCUGCACACGUUCAGCUCGAUGACGUCCCUCAAACUCUUGAUCCAGCAGAGGGUCGAGGGAGAGUUCCGUGAGCACGACGGCGUGGUGACGGUGAUGGUGAUGUGAUCCGCACAGGGCUUCGCCUAAGCACUAUGACGCCAUGAUCGGAGGAGUAAACUAUGGAGGGGGGCACCGCACACAGCUAAGAGAACAAUUGAUGUGCUAUGGGGUGCCCCCUGCCCCCGUAUAUAAAGGAGGGGAGGAGGAGGAGGCCGGCCAGGAGGCGCGUGCCAUGGGGGGAGUCCUACUAGGAGUAGGAUCCCCCCUUUUCCUUUCUUCACCGGAGGGAAAAGGAAGGAGAGGGAGAGGGAGAGGAAAGAGGGGCCGCCCCCUCCUCCUUGUCCUAUUCAGACUCC